CUUCUGAAAAACUUCAAGGCGUCAUCUAUCAUCUAAGAAAAACACUUUUAAAUGAUAUUCAAAACUCAAUUUAUGUUAAAUACUACUAAUUUUAUUGUGACAUAUCGUACUCUUUUAUGAAAACAUAUCUUGCUAUAUUAAAAAGUCAAAAUUUUAAUUUGAAAUCUAUUUAAAUUGAUUUAAAAAUUAAGAGGUAAUUUUAUAAUUACAAUAAAAUUAAGGUUUAUUUGUAAAUUACUAUUAUAUUUUUUUAUCUCCGGUUUUAUCUUCUUCUUUUUUAAAUUUUAUUUCUUUUUAAAAAUGCGAAAUUCUACUAAUUAUGUACUUCAUAUUUAAUAUGUAUAUCAAAUUAAAGAUCACGAUAAAAGCUUUAAUUUGAUAUAUUUUAUAUAAAAAUUUGAUUUAAAAUGUAAAAGCUUUAAUAUGUAUAUCAAAUUAAGUUGGUUUUAUUUUUUUCGUAUUCAGCUCAAAUAUAUUCAGUUAAUUAUUUUUUAAUUAUAUUUAUAAAUAUAAUAAUUGAGUUGAUAUAAAUUUUAUAUAAAUAUAGAUACAUAAAAAAGUUAUCCGUGUAUUUCACGGGGUAACUUACCAAAUAAAUCACCAACUAUUGAUCAAAUUUGUAAUUUUAACACAGAAUUCUAAAAGUUGACAAUUAAAUACACUUUUUUUUUCUUCUUGCAAUUGGAACUCAAAUCAACCGUAAAAUUAUCUUCUUUGGUGAAAUUGUCCAUUGUGACUCAAAUAUAAUCAAUGAACCAUACAUGAAAACGUUCCUUUUUUUCAGGAACAUCAAAGCCCAUAUAUUAAUUGCACGAGUCGUAUUCUAUUUUGGCAAGAAAGAGGCUAUAAAUGAGAACUCAAAUGGCCCAAAAAGCCACGACCCCAAAUGCAAAACUCACAGCUGAGUUCUAACUGCAAAUAAAAAUAAAAAUAUAGCUAGACUGUAUAUUUAAUUGUCAACUUUUGAAAUUAAAAAUGGGUUGUAGUUCAUAAUUUAUUUGACAAUUUACCCUAAAACAACUUGGAUAAGAAAAAUUAUGGUUUAUUAUAAAUAUACUUCGUAAUCAUUCUUGUUUAAAAAAAAAGAGGCAACACUACUUUAUGUGUUCAUGGAAACCACCAUCAAUGUACACUGGACUGGAUAUGAUUGUAAAUGAAUCGAGGUAUGUGUGUGUUGGCCUAGCGGUAGGAGGUUAAUAUCCAAGACCCGAGGUCUUGGGUUCAAGUUUUCCGUUGCGUGGUCUUUAAAUUUCUUUAUUUACUUACAAUUUGUUUGAGACUGAGCUCGAAACAAAUUCAUUCGGAUCUCGAUUCAAUAAUAAACGAGUUGAGUUUGACUUUGAUUUCGAGCUCAAUAACUUUAUCAAGCCGACCUCAAGUCUGACAGCACUCAACUCAUUGAACUCACGAACAUAUAUAUGUUCAGAUUCUUUUAUUUGCGAGCCUAUUCAAGAACUUGCAAUCGAGCUAGUGCAUGAGCCUUAAACAAGUCGAGUUUGAGUGAUAUAUUGAUUAAGAUUAAGAGCACAUUUUCAAUAUUUUCAAGCCUUUUAUGAGUCUUUAAUCAGUUUGAAUUCGAACAUCAUUUAUACUAACAUCUUGAGUCGAGUUCGAGCUGAAACUCGAAUUCAACAUUAUUGGGCAUCACUCGAGCCGAACUCGAAUAGAGAUCAAAUCCGAUCAACAAGAGGAAGCUCGAACACCAAAAUAUUUAGACGAGCCGAACUUGAGCAUGCUAGUAUUCGGCUAAGCUCGUUAGCAGCUUUAGCAAUGGGGUAAACUCAUGCUCUUAGGUAAACAGAUGAUAGAUAAAUCUUACUUGAAAAACAAGUGUAACAGGCUCAAACCUAUAAAAGUGUUGGUGAGAUUCAAAGCGUGGUUCAUUUAAUCUUGGAAAUACUCACUUUAACCACUAAAUAGUACCAAAAAAUAAGAAGAGAAAAAUAAUAAUAAUACUCUAAGAACAUCCACUAUAGAGUUUUUUUAUGGGGUUGAGCAAAAAUACAAUAAUAUUCUAAGGAUUAUUUGUUCUACUUAGAAUGAAAGAUGAAUUAGGGUUGAGCAAGAGAAUCCUAUUUAAAGAGGCGAAAUAAUAUUUUGAGGACAUAUUUUCUGUAUACUUUGAUUAUUAUUUAAUUUAUUAUUGUAUCUCACAUGCGUUUUUUUUUUUGUAUUUUUGUUUUUUUUUAAGUAUGAAAGUGUCUAGAAGUUAUAAAGUGAUCAAUCUAGUUGUUGUGAUAGCUUCGGUUUAUUCUUGCAAAAAAUAAUGUUACUUUAUUGAUAAAUUAGAUGGUGAAUGAGUUGAGGUUGCAUCUAGAUUGUAAGUCGUGGGCUUAUUGUCCAUCACGGGUAAAACUUUGGGAAUGUAUGAGGGCGUAAUAAGAAUAUGGAGCAUUAUUGUGUAAGAUUCUUUAUAUCUUAAUUUUAGAUGGUAGAUUGUUUUUCCGAACAAGACCUCCUAAAUGUAAGUGUGUUAUCAGCAAAUUGGGUGACCAAUUUAUAUGUACUAUUAUUUAUUGUUGUAGUACAUUAUUAAGUAUUGGUUUCACUGACUGUGUUACUAAUAUUUAUUAUGAGUAUUUAUGUGUAAAGAUAUGUAAGAUUUUUUUU
rnacentral:lncRNA from 1 species